rnacentral:rRNA from 4 species
GAGUUUGAUCGUGGCUCAGAUUGAACGCUGGCGGCAUGCCUUACACAUGCAAGUCGAACGGCAGCACGGGAGCUUGCUCCUGGUGGCGAGUGGCGAACGGGUGAGUAAUGCAUCGGAACGUAUCCUGGAGUGGGGGAUAACGUAGCGAAAGUUACGCUAAUACCGCAUAUUCUGUGAGCAGGAAAGCGGGGGACCUUCGGGCCUCGCGCUCUUGGAGCGGCCGAUGUCGGAUUAGCUAGUUGGUGAGGUAAAGGCUCACCAAGGCGACGAUCCGUAGCAGGUCUGAGAGGAUGAUCUGCCACACUGGAACUGAGACACGGUCCAGACUCCUACGGGAGGCAGCAGUGGGAAUUUUGGACAAUGGGGGCAACCCUGAUCCAGCCAUGCCGCGUGAGUG